GAUGAACGCUGGCGGCGUGCCUAAUACAUGCAAGUCGAGCGAACGGACGAGAAGCUUGCUUUUCUGAUGUUAGCGGCGGACGGGUGAGUAACACGUGGAUAACCUACCUAUAAGACUGGGAUAACUUCGGGAAACCGGAGUUAAUACCGGAUAAUAUUUUGAACCGCAUGGUUCAAAAGUGAAAGACGGUCUUGCUGUCACUUAUAGAUGGAUCCGCGCUGCAUUAGCUAGUUGGUAAGGUAACGGCUUACCAAGGCAACGAUGCAUAGCCGACCUGAGAGGGUGAUCGGCCACACUGGAACUGAGACACGGUCCAGACUCCUACGGGAGGCAGCAGUAGGGAAUCUUCCGCAAUGGGCGAAAGCCUGACGGAGCAACGCCGCGUGAGUGAUGAAGGUCUUCGGAUCGUAAAACUCUGUUAUUAGGGAAGAACAUAUGUGUAAGUAACUGUGCACAUCUUGACGGUACCUAAUCAGAAAGCCACGGCUAACUACGU
rnacentral:rRNA from 1 species